AGCGAACGCUGGCGGCAGGCCUAACUCAUGCAAGUCGAACGGAUCCUUCGGGAUUAGUGGCGGACGGGUGAGUAACACGUGGGAACGUGCCCUUUGGUUCGGAACAACUCAGGGAAACUUGAGCUAAUACCGGAUGUGCCCUUCGGGGGAAAGAUUUAUCGCCAUUGGAGCGGCCCGCGUCUGAUUAGCUAGUUGGUGAGGUAACGGCCCACCAAGGCGACGAUCAGUAGCUGGUCUGAGAGGAUGAUCAGCCACACUGGGACUGAGACACGGCCCAGACUCCUACGGGAGGCAGCAGUGGGGAAUCUUGCGCAAUGGGCGAAAGCCUGACGCAGCCAUGCCGCGUGAAUGAUGAAGGUCUUAGGAUUGUAAAAUUCUUUCAGCGGGGACGAUAAUGACGGUACCCGCAGAAGAAGCUCCGGCUAACUUCGUG
rnacentral:rRNA from 1 species